AGCUAUCAUAUCUUCCUAUGAAAGUCACAAGCAAGAGAUGAAUUGACAUCCUGUGUAGGAAAUUGAAUAGAAGAAAGAAAUCAAGUAGAAAUUCAAAUCUCUUCCCUGACUCUCCCAGGAACAUAUGAAAGUGACUUCCAUAAUGGACAAGUCAAGACAAUAAAAAUCUUUGGAAAAUCUGCCUCAAAUCUCAGUGCACCAAACCCCACUAUGUCCUCAGCAAGGAUUCCAGGUAUGAGUAACUCUACUGAAAUCAGAAAUUAAUGGCCAGUAUGUUUUAUUUAAAUUUGUGCAGUAGUAUUAGAAGUUCCCUAUCUAGAGGCAUUACAGAAAAUGAGAAAACACUUUAAAUAAAACAUAACUUACUUUUUAAAAGCUAUAUCA
ensembl:lncRNA